rnacentral:rRNA from 1 species
CCGCAUAGUAUCUGUGGAUUAAAGGUGGCUUUUGGGCUGUCGCAGAUGGAUGAGCCUGCGUUGGAUUAGCUAGUUGGUAGGGUAAGGGCCUACCAAGGCUGCGAUCCAUAGCUGAUUUGAGAGGAUGAUCAGCCACAUUGGGACUGAGACACGGCCCAAACUCUUACGGGAGGCAGCAGUGAGGAAUAUUGGACAAUGGGGGCAACCCUGAUCCGGCAAUGCCAUGUGUGUGAAGAAGGCCUUAGGGUUGUAAAGCACUUUAGUUGGGGAAGAAAGCUUUGAGGUUAAUAGCCUUGAGGAAGGACGUUACCCAAAGAAUAAGCACCGGCUAACUCCGUGCCAGCAGCCGCGGUAAUACGGGGGGUGCAAGCGUUAAUCGGAAUUACUGGGCGUAAAGGGUCUGUAGGUGGUUUGUUAAGUCAGAUGUGAAAGCCCAGGGCUCAACCUUGGAACUGCAUUUGAUACUGGCACACUAGAGUACGGUAGAGGAAUGAGGAAUUUCUGGUGUAGCGGUGAAAUGCGUAGAGAUCAGAAGGAACACCAAUGGCGAAGGCAACAUUCUGGACCGAUACUGACACUGAGGGACGAAAGCGUGGGGAUCAAACAGGAUUAGAUACCCUGGUAGUCCAUGCUGUAAACGAUGAGUACUAGCUGUUGGAGUCGGUGUAAAGGCUCUAGUGGCGCAGCUAACGCGAUAAGUACUCCGCCUGGGGACUACGGCCGCAAGGCUAAAACUCAAAGGAAUUGACGGGGAUCCGCACAAGCGGUGGAGCAUGUGGUUUAAUUCGAUGCAACGCGAAGAACCUUACCUGGUCUUGACAUCCUGCGAGCUUUCUAGAAAUAGAUUGGUGCCUUAGGGAACGCAGUGACAGGUGCUGCACGGCUGUCGUCAGCUCGUGUUGUGAAAUGUUGGGUUAAGUCCCGCAACGAGCGCAACCCCUAUUGAUAGUUACCAUCAUUAAGUUGGGUACUCUAUUGAGACUGCCGCUGACAAGGCGGAGGAAGGUGGGGACGACGUCAAGUCAUCAUGGCCCUUACGACCAGGGCUACACACGUGCUACAAUGGGUA